UUCAUCAAAACUUCGAAGCAUGUUUUUCUACUGACGCUUUAAGUAGUCUUUAUUUUUUAUAUUUAAGUAUUUAUCUCGUUUUUUAAUACUGAGAUCAAAGCAGUAAAGUGUCGAUACGUUUUUGAAGGGUCAAAACAUGCUUCGGUCAGAUUUACAUCAGUGGGAUAAAGUGUGCUUAGUCUAAUGCUUCAUAGAAGGUACGCUAUUUGUGUGCAUGAAAAGGGAAUACUGUGGUGUUGAACGAAGGCUUGAAAGUUGAAGCAAUUUUUGAACAUGGCAGCUGAGCUAUUAAAACUGAGAUUAAGAGGAAUUGCCCUUUUUCUUGCCUGCAUCAUCAUUUUUGGCCUUUCUGUGCUUUCUUACGGACUCUACCAAAACAUAAAAUACGAAACUGUAAGCGGGGCGACCAUUUCCAUUGUAGGAAUCUUUAUCUUAUUUUUUGGAAUUGCUGCCUGUAGGAAUCAAGCCUUAUUGAAGACAUAUCUACAAGGAGAAAUACCAUAUUAUUCAUAGUAUCAGUGUACUUGCAAUAUGUUUAUAUAUGUGUAUAUUUCUGUUUUAACUUAGUUAUUUUGCCUCUAUAUUUAUUUAUAAAAAUUGUUCAUUCAUUGUACUUUUGUGUUAAG